rnacentral:rRNA from 1 species
GUGCCAGCAGCCGCGGUAAUACGUAGGGAGCAAGCGUUGUCCGGAAUUAUUGGGCGUAAAGGGUGCGUAGGCGGUUUUGUAAGUCAGAUGUGAAAUCCCCGGGCUUAACUCGGGAGUUGCAUUUGAAACUGCAGAACUUGAGUAAAGAAGAGGUAAGUGGAAUUCCUAGUGUAGCGGUGGAAUGCGUAGAUAUUAGGAGGAACACCAGUGGCGAAGGCGACUUACUGGUCUUUUACUGACGCUGAGGCACGAAAGCGUGGGGAGCAAACAGGAUUAGAAACCCCCGUAGUCC